rnacentral:ncRNA from 2 species
CCAAUAGCGUAUAUUAAAGUUGUUGCAGUUAAAAAGCUCGUAGUUGAAUUUCGGGAUUGACACAUCGGUCGUGCCUUAAGGGGUGUGAACUGGUGUAGUCAAUUUCUCACCUUCUGGAGAACCGCGAUGUCCUUAAUUGGGUGCCGCGAGGAACCAGGACCUUUACUUUGAAAAAAUUAGAGUGUUUAAAGCAGGCAUUUUUGCUUGAAUACAUUAGCAUGGAAUAAUAAAAUAGGACGGCAUGAUUCUAUUUUGUUGGUUUCUAGGAUCACCGUAAUGAUUAAUAGGGAUAGUUGGGGGCAUUAGUAUUCAAUUGUCAGAGGUGAAAUUCUUGGAUUUAUUGAAGACUAACUACUGCGAAAGCAUUUGCCAAGGAUGUUUUCAUUAAUCAAGAACGAAAGUUAGGGGAUCGAAGACGAUCAGAUACCGUCGUAGUCUUAACCAUAAACUAUGCCGACUAGGAAUCAGACGAUGUUAAUUUUUUAAUGACUCGUUUGGCACCUUACG